rnacentral:tRNA from 1 species
GGAGAGGUGCGAGAGUGGCCGAAUCGGGCGGUCUCGAAAACCGUUGACCCGAAAGGGUCCGUGGGUUCGAAUCCCACCCUCUCCGCCA